rfam:Oryza sativa Japonica Group DNA, chromosome 2, cultivar: Nipponbare, complete sequence.
AAAAAGACAAAUUGUGGGUCUCGUAUCAACGUUUGACUGUCCGUCUUAUAUGAAUUUUUUUUAUAAUUAGUAUUUUCAUUGUUGUUAGAUGAUAAAACAUGAUUAAUACUUUAUGCGUGACUUAUCUUUUUAAUUUUUUUCAUAAUUUUUUCAAAUAAGACGGACGGUCAAACGUUGAACACGGAAAUCAGGGUUUGUCUUUUU